ACAGUUUUGGUCCUGGGCUUACCGUUCUUUUUUGUUGAGAUUAUACAUGCAAGCCUCAGCACACCAGUGAAAAUGCCCAAAAAUCCUUAAAAGAUAACUGGAGCAGGUAUCAGGCUCUGCAUCCAAGCCCACAACACCUUGCUAUGCCACACCCCCACGGGAAAAUCAGCAGUAAUAAACAUUGGGCAAUAAGUGAAAACUUGACCCAACUACAACAACCAAGGGCUGGUCAAUUUCGUGCCAGCCACCGCGGUUAUACGAAAGGCCCAAAAUAACGGAAAACGGCGUAAAAUGUGACUAGAGUUUUUAAGAUCAGAAAUAUUAAAACCCACAACCUAGUUGUAGAACACUCAGGUAUUGGAGAAAAUCACCAAAAUAUUUUUAUUUUUUUAUUCUUGACCACACGAAAGCUUAGAAACAAACUAGGAUUAGAUACCCUACUAUGCUAAGCCCUAAACAUUGACAGCUAUUAUACAAAACUGUCCGCCAGAGAACUACAAGUGAAAAACUUUAAACUCAAAGGACUUGACGGUGUCCCAUAUCGACCUAGAGGAGCCUGUCCUAUAAUCGAUACCCCUCGUUCCACCCAACCUCAACUAGCACAACUACAGCCUAUAUACCGCCGUCGACCAGCCUACCCUAUGAAGGCCCAACAGUAGACACAAUAGCCCCAUCGCUAAUACGUCAGGUCAAGGUGUAGCAAAUGUUGAGGAAGAGAUUGGCUACAUUUUUUGUAACAAAAAAUACGAAAAGCACAAUGAAAUCAUGCUUGAAGGUGAAUUUAGUAGUAAACUAAAUAAGAGAAUUUAUUUUAACAACGCUCUGGGACGCGUACACACCGCCCGUCACCCUCCUCAAUAAUAAAACACACUUUUUAUUAAACGAAAAUAAUUAAUAGAGGAGGUAAGUCGUAACACGGUAAGCGUACCGGAAGGUGUGCUUGGACUAA
rnacentral:ncRNA from 1 species